rfam:Halomonas sp. BC04 BC04_c8, whole genome shotgun sequence.
AUUGGUAGGCCCACCGAAGUAUGCUGUCUGAAGCCGGCUCAAACUGCCUCAAGCGGCUUCUGUUAAGAGUAAAAGUCAUGAGCGUUGAGGUACUUCCACUGCGGGCAUCAUGCAACGG